rnacentral:rRNA from 1 species
UACGUAGGGACCAAGCGUUGUUCGGAUUUACUGGGCGUAAAGGGCGCGUAGGCGGCUUGACAAGUCACUUGUGAAAUCUCCGGGCUUAACUCGGAACGGCCAAGUGAAACUGUCAUGCUAGAGUGCAGAAGGGGCAAUCGGAAUUCUUGGUGUAGCGGUGAAAUGCGUAGAUAUCGAGAGGAACACCUGCGGCGAAGGCGGGUUGCUGGGCUGACACUGACGCUGAGGCGCGAAAGCCAGGGGAGCGAACGGG